AUUGAACGCUGGCGGAAUGCUUUACACAUGCAAGUCGAACGGUAGAGGGGGCAACCCCUCGAGAGUGGCGAACGGGUGAGUAAUAUAUCGGAACGUGCCCAGUCGUGGGGGAUAACGUAGCGAAAGUUACGCUAAUACCGCAUACGAUCUAAGGAUGAAAGCGGGGGAUCGCAAGACGUCGCGCGAUUGGAGCGGGCGAUAUCAGAUUAGGUAGUUGGUGGGGUAAAGGCUCACCAAGCCAACGAUCUGUAGCUGGUCUGAGAGGACGACCAGCCACACUGGAACUGAGACACGGUCCAGACUCCUACGGGAGGCAGCAGUGGGGAAUUUUGGACAAUGGACGCAAGUCUGAUCCAGCCAUUCCGCGUGCAGGAUGAAGGCCCUCGGGUUGUAAACUGCUUUUGUACGGAACGAAAAGGUCUCUCUUAAUACGGGGGACUCAUGACGGUACCGUAAGAAUAAGCACCGGCUAACUACGUGCCAGCCGCCGCAGUAACAC
rnacentral:rRNA from 1 species